GUGAAACGCUCGAGGUAUCGUAUCUCAAUACAAAUUCAAAACUCAAAACGCUUUCACUCCAACUUCAAUUUCAUCAUGUUCGGAAACAACACAUGCAGCGGCGGCGCUCCAUUUUCUCUCUCAGUCGUGUUCUCUGCCGUCUCAACCUCGCGUCCAUUACAAACCCGACGGCCGAAGAACUCAUACGAGUUCUCUUCUCCGACGAACUCUCGGUCUCAAUAUCUUCUUCUCCUCUUUUCGAUUUCUAAUUCGUUGUUUGUUGGUUUGAUGAUGAUGGUGAUACGGAAUCGGUGAUUUGUGUUGUUGUAUUGUGUGUUUCUGUCCAAGCUUGAUUCGGUGAAAGUGCAAUGAUGAUGAUGGGUAAUGUUUGUUUUAGGGUUAGAUCUGUGUAUUUGUUCAUCUCCAUGGUUGUUUUCAUAAAUCUAAUUAGUUUAUUGUUAUGUUUGAGGGUUUAUUUCUGAUUUUUAUUCUUUUGUUACUUAUGGUUAAUGUUUGUUUCAGGUUUAGAUCUGUGUAUUUGUUCAUCUCCACGACUGUUUUUAUAAAUCAAAUUAUUUCAUCCCUUUUCUCUGCUAUAUAUUGAAUCAAAUUAAGGCUACAUCAUAUAGGAUUUCAUCUCAGUAGCCAGAAAGGAUUUAGACUUGAUCGGGUUUUACCGCUGACUUUUGAAUCUAACAGGAGGAUGAAGUGAAAGAAAGAGCAAAAAGAGAUGCAGCUGCUAGCAAAUGAAGGGAAUACUCAUGGAAAGGAUUGUGUAUGAAGUGAUGGCUUCUUAUUGUAUUGGAAGAGAAUUUUAAUUGUGACAUGGAUAAGCAGUGACUUGGUUCUGAAAUUGCAUAUGUGCUAUGACUGUUUUGGGUUGUAUAAUUAUGCAGUAUCGAAGAUACACUAUUGAGGAAAUAGAAGAAGCGACAAAAUACUUUUCCAACUCACUGAAGUUGGUGAAGUAUGUUAUGGACCAGUCUAUAGGGCUGAAUUAGUUCUCACUGCAUUUGCAAUAAAAGUGUUGCAACCCUGUGCAGCUCAAGGAUGGUUGCAAUUUCAACCAAGAUUGAAGUUGUGAUAAGCAUAAGGCAUCCAAACAUGGUUCUUCUAUUUGAAACGUGUCCGGGGUUCGGUUGCUUACCGUAUGAGCACAUGAGUAAUGGAAUGUUGACAUGCUAUCUAGAUUUAGACAUUAGCAUAUAGGGCAAUAUAAAUUCUUUUUCAGGGUUUU